rnacentral:rRNA from 1 species
UACGAAGGACCCAAGCGUUAUCCGGAUUUAUUGGGUUUAAAGGGUGCGUAGGCGGAUUGUUAAGUCAGUGGUGAAAGCUCCGAGCCCAACUCGGAAACUGCCAUUGAUACUGAUGAUCUUGAGUACAUUUGAGGUGGGCGGAAUGUGUCAUGUAGCGGUGAAAUGCUUAGAGAUGACACAGAACACCGAUUGCGAAGGCAGCUCACUAAACUGUAACUGACGCUGAGGCACGAAAGCGUGGGGAGCAAACGGG